GAUGAACGCUGGCGGCGUGCCUAAUACAUGCAAGUCGAGCGAACGGACGAGAAGCUUGCUUCUCUGAUGUUAGCGGCGGACGGGUGAGUAACACGUGGAUAACCUACCUAUAAGACUGGGAUAACUUCGGGAAACCGGAGCUAAUACCGGAUAAUAUUUUGAUCCGUUUGGUUCAAAAGUAAAAGACGGCCUUCCUGUCUCUUUUAAAUGCUUCCCCGCUGCAUUAGCUGGUUGGUAAGUUAACGGCUUACCAAGGCAACGAUGCAUAGCCGACCUGAGAGGGUGAUAGGCCACACUGGAACUGAGACACGGUCCAGACUACUACGGGAGGCAGCAGUAGGGAAUCUUACGCAAUGGGCGAAAGCCUGACGGAGCAACGCCGCGUGAGUGAUGAAGGUCUUCGGAUCGUAAAACUCUGUUAUUAGGGAAGAACAUAUGUGUAAGUAACUGUGCACAUCUUGACGGUACCUAAUCAGAAAGCCACGGCUAACUACGUG
rnacentral:rRNA from 1 species